GGCAGCGUAGCUCAGGAGGUAGAGCAAGCGGCUCAUAUCCGCUGUGUCAGGGGUUCGAGUCCCUUCGCUGCCA
rnacentral:tRNA from 1 species